CCUUUGUUGCCAGCACGUAAUGGUGGGAACUCAAGGGAGACUGCCGGUGAUAAACCGGAGGAAGGUGGGGAUGACGUCAAGUCAUCAUGGCCCUUACGGCCAGGGCUACACACGUGCUACAAUGGCGCGUACAGAGGGCUGCAAGCUAGCGAUAGUGAGCGAAUCCCAAAAAGCGCGUCGUAGUCCGGAUCGGAGUCUGCAACUCGACUCCGUGAAGUCGGAAUCGCUAGUAAUCGCAAAUCAGAAUGUUGCGGUGAAUACGUUCCCGGGCCUUGUACACACCGCCCGUCACACCAUGGGAGUGGGUUGCACCAGAAGUAGAUAGCUUAACCUUCGGGAGGGCGUUUACCACGGUGUGAUUCAUGACUGGGGUGAAGUCGUAACA
rnacentral:rRNA from 1 species